AAUUACCGGUAUAUAAGAUUUACUACUUGGUAAGGUUCCAAAAAAUAAAAAAAUAAAAAUCCCAUUUCCUCUAUCUCUUGACACCUUGCUUAAAUCCAAAGACUAUCACAUUCAUUACACACAAAUCUCAAAAAAUGAGAUGAAGCAAUCACAAUCUCUCUCUCUCUCUCUCUCUCUCUCUCUCUCUCAUAUUCUUGAAAUGUCAAUUGGCAUGGGAGUUGUGUAUCUAAUUAUACUAUCUCUGUUUCUUGGAUCAACCAAUAUUGUGAAAGCUGCUGCUGCUCUACCGUGUGAUGACGACAGAUGCAAAACUGGAUCAUGCAACAGCACUGGCUACUGUAUUGCAAUCUUCCAGACCCUUCCACCAUUUUAGAUGGUGAUCGACCUUUCCAAGGGGGGAGGUUUUGUGAUGAGGAAAUGACAAUGUGUGAUGGGACUAACUCAUUUUGGUGUGGAAAUGGAGGGACUUGCGAGGAGAUAGUGCAAGGUGAGAGUUAUAAAUGCCAGUGCCAAACAGGGCAUAGUGGAGAGCACUGUGAGCUUGCAGGGGCACCAUGUGGUGACAUUUUCUGUUUCCAUGGAGGUGCAUGUUUGGUUGAGAAUGAUGUCUGUGACUGUCCCACUGAUUAGAAAGGAAGCAUUAAUUGCUCUCUCCCAACCACAACCCAAACAGAUUCUGCAACAAAUUCAAUUGGGUUGCACCAAGAAGAAAGCAACAGUGAUGUAAAUGUAAGUAUAUAUGAGGCAUACAUAAACAUACCAUGAAUUUGCAAGAAAUAAAAGGAUUUGUGCAAAGAUUUGUAAAUGAAAAGAAAAAAAAAAAUCUUCAGAAAAAAAAAAAGAAAAAAAAAGGGAUUUGUGAAUGAAAUAGAGGAUGAAUUUUUUCACAAAAAUCUCUUCCUUAUUAUUUUCUCUCAACAAAUUGCUUCACAAAUUCAAAAUCCAAAAAUAGUCCAAAAUGCACAAAGACCCCAAAGAGAUAACUAAAGCAUGCACAAAAGAUUUGCCAUGACUGCCAAAAAAACUUCAAUAUUGUCGAAAUUUUAAAAUUGACAAUAAUAUUUUUUAAUUAAUUUAUUUAUUUAUUGUCAGACUCUUCCAUCAUACCUUUGAUUUCAACACACUCACGCACAUCUUCUGUGUGUGUGUG